rnacentral:rRNA from 1 species
UGAGCAAUCUGCCCUUCUCAUCGGAAUAAGCGUUGGAAACGACGUCUAAUGCCGAAUACGACCUCCUUUCGCAUGAUCGGAGGUGGAAAGCUCCGGCGGAGAAGGAUGAGCUCGCGGCCUAUCAGCUAGUUGGUGUGGGUAACGCCCACCAAGGCGACGACGGGUAGCCGGCCUGAGGAGGGUGACCGGCCACACUGGGACUGAGACACGGCCCAGACCUCCGUACGGGAGGNAGCG